AUGAAAGUGAAUAUUUAGCAACAUUUUACUGCUCAAAGAAUUUUAUCCCUGUAUAAAUGUCCUGUAUAAAUGGACUGUAGCUUAAUUUUGUCAUGUGACAUCUCUUCUGUUUUCAGGUUCAGUUGGUUCUGGAAUCUUUUGCUGUUGUUUUGCUGUGUUAUUUAUAGCGAAACCACCUCUAUACUUGUACCAGGAGAAAAAGGAGGCAACGCCACACUGCCUUGUGAAUUAAAGGAUAGAGACAUUUUUAAUGUUAUUUUAAACCGUCAAUCAAAAAACAUCCCUGUUUGUAAGACUGAAAACUGUAGUGGGCGAGCAUUUAAAAUAGGAGCCUGUGACAUUGUCAUCAAGGAUCUGAUCUUCAGUGAUGCUGGGAAGUACAUUAUGAGAGUCUUUUAUGGCAAAGAUCAGACAGAGCUGGAGCAACGAAGGGAGUACAAUCUUCAUAUUCAUGAUGAGACUUUAGUGAAAAUCGGUGAGGAGCUGAAGUUGGAUGUUCUGUUGUCUAAUGCUGAUAAAGUGGAGACAAACUCCAGUGGAGAGUGGAGGGAGGUGUGGAGCAGAACUGAUGGGGUCCUGGAUCAUCAUCUGAAUGACAGUGAUGGAUACCUGACCAUUAAAGGUUUUACAGCCAGUGACACUGGAACAUACAGAGUUCUGGACUCUAAAGGAGAAACCUUGAUCACAGUCACAGUCAGAGAAUAUAGUACAGAAUAUAAGAAAAAGCGGGAUGGUGACAAUGAUACAAAUUAUACUGUACUGUAUGUCGUGCUGUCUGUGGUGUUGGGGGUCCCGGUUCUGGUUCUGAUUACAUUUGUUUUCGUCAAGAAACUGCACAGGAACCCAGAACAUGAUCCCGACCAGAGGGUCCCACUGCAGGACAGGAUCCCAGAACAUGAUCCCCACCAGAGGGCCCCACUGCAGGACAGGAACCCAGAACAUGAUCCCGACCAGAGGGUCCCGUAGCAAUAAAUUAUCCUGGAAGCCCA
ensembl:lncRNA